rnacentral:rRNA from 1 species
UGCCGCAGCUAAUGCAUUAAGUACCCCACCUGGGGAGUACGAUCGCAAGGUUGAAACUCAAAGGAAUUGACGGGGGCCCGCACAAGCGGUGGAGCAUGUGGUUUAAUUCGAUGCAACGCGAAGAACCUUACCUAGGCUUGACAUGCAGGGGACAGGUGUAGAAAUACAUCCUUCCUUCGGGACCCUUGCACAGGUGCUGCAUGGCUGUCGUCAGCUCGUGUCGUGAAAUGUUGGGUUAAGUCCCGCAACGAGCGCAACCCCUGUCUUUAGUUGCCAUCAGGUAAUGCUGGGGACUCUAGAGAGACUGCCGGUGACAAACCGGAGGAAGGUGGGGAUGACGUCAAGUCAUCAUGGCCCCUUACGCCUAGGGCUACACACGUGCUACAAUGGUCGGUACAAAGGGCAGCAAUACCGUGAGGUGGAGCAAAUCCCAAAAAGCCGGCCUCAGUUCGGAUCGAAGUCUGCAACUCGACUUCGUGAAAGUUGGAAUCGCUAGUAAUCGCGUAUCAGAACGACGCGGGUGAAUACGUUCCCGGGCCCUUGUACACACCGCCCCGUCAAGUCAAACCGAGUUGGCUGCCACCCCCCAAGUCGCUGAGCUAACCCCGUAAGGGGAGGCUAGGUGCCCAAGGUGUGGUUAGCGAGGGGGACUAAGUCGU